AAUAAAUAUAAGAAAUAGCAUAGCAACAUCAUCAAAAUCAAUUGGAAGAAGAAUAAAAAGUACGAAUAAAAAAAGCAGAUAGAGAAAGAAAACAGAAUAAAAACAAACCUUAUUUCACAAUUCUAUCUUGACAAGAGAAACGUCAGUUUAGAAAGAAAGCAAAAGUUAACCAACAAUUGAAAUUCGAAUGUAGAGUCAGGCGCACGCCAUGUGAAAAAUUCAUUCAGCUGGCGUGACAAAAAUAUGAGAUGCAGUUCUGGGGUCAGCAGGAAUCCCCAUAUAAGGCAUCAUAUUAACAACUGUGUGCUAGCUUACGCAUAUAUCAAAAUAUUGACGAAGAAAAACUAAUGGCUGUUUGACUUCACGCUAAAGAUGUAGUUAAUUGCGCGUGCAAUUUAGUUGCCUCUUGAUGAAACUUCAACUUAAUGAUGAUGUAUCAUAAUUGCGUGAUUAUGGUGGAGAAAACGACGAAUUGUGUAAGGUAUACUAUAUCAUCCGAUUCCCAGGUGAGAGGAAAUUCGAGUCGUGCGACCAAUGGCUGCCAUAUAAAUCGGCUUUUUUUCCCAGUUUUGUACUCAUUCAAAACAUCUGUAGUUAAAGCUAUGAAUACUUCCGUUAAUCGUGAUAGACGCAUGACCACCUAUAUAACGUGAUCAAUGUAAAACUAUCUGAUUACUCACGAAAGCGCGAUAACGAACAGAAAAUUACCGAUAUUUAGGCAAGUCUAGAGAUGAUCAUUCAUCGAAUGCACUAGUGGACGUACAGGAUUCGGAUCGACUAAUAACGUAUUGAAGGCGCGUGCAAACGUAACAUGUGCAGUAUAUAAGGAUAUAUAUUCAAUCCGUUCGUGAUCUUCUCUUCUACUGGUACAGUGUUCCAUUAUUUAUGAUAAACAAGUCUCCAAUAUGCUCCGUGCAUAAGCAACUUGCGCAACACAGAAAAAUGACUACAAGUAUAUUUGUAAAAUUUAAAAUACCUAGCCCAUAACCGUGUUUGUAAAAUUUACGAAAGAAGCAUAAUGAAUAUUUAUUAGCUAAAAAAAAACUCGAUAAUGUAAUAAAUCCAAAUAAAACAAUGUUUAUUCGCUUCAGUUACUGCACAUUAAUUCAAGCUAUCUAUAUUUAACAGUUUUACUGACAAACAUGACAUAAUUUGAUCAGUCAAGACCUCACGCAUCUGUGUACAGGUGUUUUCAUUCUCACAUUCCAAAGGAAUAGCGAAGAAGCAGCUCAGACAUCGAUCGAGUAAACGUUGACUUGUACAACACAGAAUGUCGUGCAUGUCUCAUGAGCUUGACAGAAUUAAACAAGCUGGAUUUUUAUACAAACCACCGAACAAGCUUCUCUAAUGGUUUAAAUUACAAGUGAUUGAAGAGUAAGGAACCGUCUUUUCAACUCUUAUACUCUUAACUGACUUUACGACUUUAAUUAACGUUGAGAUAAUUUUGCUAUUUUAAAUCCUG
rnacentral:lncRNA from 1 species